rnacentral:rRNA from 1 species
GACGAACGCUGGCGGCGUGCUUAACACAUGCAAGUCGAACGGAAAGGCCCUGCUUUUGUGGGGUGCUCGAGUGGCGAACGGGUGAGUAACACGUGAGUAACCUGCCCUGGACUUUGGGAUAACUUCAGGAAACUGGGGCUAAUACCUGAGAGGAGCUCCUGCUGGAGGGUGGGGGUUGGAAAGUUUCGGCGGUUGGGGAUGGACUCGCGGCUUACCAGCUUGUUGGUGGGGUAGUGGCUUACCAAGGCUUUGACGGGUAGCCGGCCUGAGAGGGUGACCGGCCACAUUGGGACUGAGAGACGGCCCAGACUCCUACGGGAGGCAGCAGUGGGGAAUAUUGCACAAUGGGCGGAAGCCUGAUGCAGCAACGCCGCGUGCGGGAUGACGGCCUUCGGGUUGUAAACCGCUUUCGCCUGUGACGAAGCGUGAGUGACGGUAAUGGGUAAAGAAGCACCGGCUAACUACGUG